rnacentral:lncRNA from 1 species
AGUCUUGGCUGGCAGACUUUGUACUCUGUAUUCCGUACGCGGAACUCGCAGCGGCGCGAUCUUCGGCAGCCUAGUCAUCCACCGCCAUCCUGGGCCCCACGUGUUGCCUGACCAUUCCUGAGCCCAGGCCAGGAACAGUUGCUGAACACCCCAGGCCUGCUGAGGUCCCUCCUUGAGUCUCAUGUUCAAGCAGUCUUUGUCCAUGAAACUGGGAGGCGACCUUGUUAGCUGCCAGUUCCUGACAGCCACCUCUCACCAGUGGCCUCACUCUGUGUCCCUGACCCAGCACAGGGCACAAGAGUGCCUGCCAUCCCUCAGUGUUUCUACAGCAGCAAUCCCGAGAUGCCAGAGCUAGAGGGGACCUGACCUGAGAGAAGAUACCUUCAGUGGCUGCCAGGCUGUUCCUUGGAACCUGUGCAGGGAUGAGGCCUGCCUGUGUUAAUACACUUAGUGAGGAGUGGAGCUGAAUUUAAACGCAAGUCUUGGCACCUUAAUUGAGCAAGUUUGAAACCUCGCUUGUUGCCCUUCUGGAAGGAGUCAGGAAUUUCCAGUUCUGGGCCUUGGCUGUGGGUCUGACAGACAGACCUCUGGCCCUAGGUUUGGGUGCCAGGUUCUCUGCUUCCAGAAUGAGAGGCUUUGCUGUGCACCAGGACCUGGGCCCUUCUGGUAUCUCCUGAAUGAAAAACAAGGGAUAUUUAAUAAAUAUGGAUU